AGAGGUAUGGUUCAGAGGUAGAGUCCUUGCCUAAUAUGUGAGAAAUCCUGAGUUCAAUCCUCAGUACCACAC
rnacentral:tRNA from 1 species